UCCGGUUGAUCCUGCCGGACCUGACUGCUAUCGGAUUGAUACUAAGCCAUGCGAGUCAUUGUAGCAAUACAAGGCAUACGGCUCAGUAACGCGUAGUCAACCUAACCUAUGGACGGGAAUAACCUCGGGAAACUGAGAAUAAUGCCCGAUAGAACACUAUACCUGGAAUGGUUUGUGUUCCAAAUGAUUUAUCGCCAUAGGAUGGGACUGCGGCCUAUCAGUUUGUUGGUGAGGUAAUGGCCCACCAAGACUAUUACAGGUACGGGCUCUGAGAGGAGUAGCCCGGAGAUGGGUACUGAGACACGGACCCAGGCCCUAUGGGGCGCAGCAGGCGAGAAAACUUUGCAAUGUGCGAAAGCACGACAAGGUUAAUCCGAGUGAUUUGUGCUAAACGAAUCUUUUGUUAGUCCUAGAAACACUAACGAAUAAGGGGUGGGCAAGUUCUGGUGUCAGCCGCCGCGGUAAAACCAGCACCUCAAGUGGUCAGGAUGAUUAUUGGGCCUAAAGCAUCCGUAGCCGGCUCUGUAAGUUUUCGGUUAAAUCUGUACGCUUAACGUACAGGCUGCCGGGAAUACUGCAAAGCUAGGGAGUGGGAGAGGUAGACGGUACUCGGUAGGAAGUGGUAAAAUGCUUUGAUCUAUCGAUGACCACCUGUGGCGAAGGCGGUCUACCAGAACACGUCCGACGGUGAGGGAUGAAAGCUGGGGGAGCAAACCGGAUUAGAUACCCGGGUAGUCCCAGCUGUAAACUAUGCAAACUCAGUGAUGCAUUGGCUUGUGGCCAAUGCAGUGCUGCAGGGAAGCCGUUAAGUUUGCCGCCUGGGAAGUACGUACGCAAGUAUGAAACUUAAAGGAAUUGGCGGGGGAGCACCACAAGGGGUGAAGCCUGCGGUUCAAUUGGAUUCAACGCCGGA
rnacentral:rRNA from 1 species